AGAGUUUGAUCCUGGCUCAGAACGAACGCUGGCGGCAGGCCUAACACAUGCAAGUCGAACGCCCCUUUCGGGGAGUGGCGCACGGGUGAGUAACGCGUGGGAAUCUGCCCUUUGGUCUGGAAUAACCCUGGGAAACUAGGGCUAAAACCGGAUAAGCCCCGCGAGGGAAAGAUUUACGCCGAAGGAGGAAGCCCGCGUCCGAUUAGCUAGUUGGUGAGGUAAGAGCUCACCAAGGCAACGAUCGGUAGCUGGUCUGAGAGGACGAUCAGCCACACUGGGACUGAGACACGGCCCAGACUCCUACGGGAGGCAGCAGUGGGGAAUAUUGGACAAUGGGCGCAAGCCUGAUCCAGCCAUGCCGCGUGAGUGAUGAAGGCCUUCGGGUUGUAAAGCUCUUUUGGCGGGGACGAUGAUGACGGUACCCGCAGAAUAAGCCCCGGCAAACUUCGUGCCAGCAGCCGCGGUAAGACGAAGGGGGCAAGCGUUGUUCGGGAAUUACUGUGCGUAAAGGGGCGCGUAGGCGGAUCUUUAAGUCAUGCGUGAAAGCCCUGGGGCUCAACCUGGGGAGUGGCUGCUUGAUACUGGGUGACUAAAAUAACU
rnacentral:rRNA from 1 species